AGUGAACGCUGGCGGUAGGCCUAACACAUGCCAGUCGAACGGCAGCACAGUAAGAGCUUGCUCUUACGGGUGGCGAGUGGCGGACGGGUGAGGAAUACAUCGGAAUCUACUUUUUCGUGGGGGAUAACGUAGGGAAACUUACGCUAAUACCGCAUACGACCUACGGGUGAAAGCAGGGGAUCUUCGGACCUUGCGCGAUUGAAUGAGCCGAUGUCGGAUUAGCUAGUUGGCGGGGUAAAGGCCCACCAAGGCGACGAUCCGUAGCUGGUCUGAGAGGAUGAUCAGCCACACUGGAACUGAGACACGGUCCAGACUCCUACGGGAGGCAGCAGGGGGGAAUAUUGGAAAAUGGGCGCAAGCCUGAUCCAGCCAUACCGGGGGGGUGAAGAAGGCCUUCGGGUUGUAAAGCCCUUUUGUUGGGAAAGAAAAGCAGCAGGUUAAUACCCCGCUGUUCUGACGGUACCCAAAGAAUAAGCACCGGCUAACUUCGG
rnacentral:rRNA from 1 species